rnacentral:lncRNA from 1 species
AUCUAUCUUAUUUUUCAUAUUAAGAUAAACAGAACCAGAACAUGUGUUUCUACUUUUUGUAUCCUAUAUACUGGAGAGAAACCAACUUUUGCGACCCAGCUAUCUGCAUGUUCAAGUCAAGUAAACAAACUUGAAAUCCAAGCAGCACCUCUGCUGGAGGACCAGAAAUAUCUCCAAGAGCACCAGCAACCCCAGCUAUCUAGACCCGAAGUGGAUAUACUCAGAGGCAUCCUGGCCUACCCCACCCCUGACCCCAGAGAAGAUGCUGCUGCCCUCAGAAGACGCCAGAGCCAGCCACACUGCAAGUCUGGGAGGAUCGAGCAAGGCAGGCUGCUCAGUGAAGGCUUCCUCUCCUGUAGCAGGAAGAGCAUCGUUAAGAACAAGUAUGCAGGGCUGGACUACUCUGGAGAUGUAAUGACCAGAGCUGAGACCCCCGAGACCAGAGUGACUAUGAAGGACUGUCGUCACCUUGUUCCUGAACAUCUAAUGCCUCUCAGCUCCAGGAGGCCACUGAGGAGAAACCGAAGGCUAGUUUUCCUUGGAAGCCAGCAGCCUGUCCACCUGUUCCACUUCCCUGCCUCUUGCAGCCUCCGCUCAAACACUACCAUGGUUUGGGAGCACGGAAAAACUAGAAAAUACAGAAAUAUAUCAAGAAGAAAGAAAUUUAAAAAUCAACCUGAAUCCCACCAACCAGAGACAGCUAUUAAUGAUUGUGGUAUAUUUAUUGUAAGUCUCUUUAUUUCUCUCUUUAUGCAAACACAUUUUUAAAGAAUGUAAAGUAUUAUAUUGUUUAUACAACUUUAAAUCCUGCUUUUCGCUUAUUACAAUUAGGACUUUCUUCAUGUUAAUAAUAUUUCCUGAAAACAUAAAUAUCUAAUGGUUACAUCAUAUUUAUUCACUUUCCCUUGUUGAUGAACAUUUAGGUUGCUUUUAUUUUUUCUUGCUUAUAUAAAAUGAGCACUCUUGAACAUAAAUACAUGCUAACAGCUCUGGAAAUUACUCCAUGCCUUUAUUCUUUUUUUUUUUUUUUUCGUGACAGGAUCUCACUUUGUCACCCAGGUGGGAGUACAAUGGCAUGAUCUCUGCCUCCCAGUUUCAAGCCAUUCUCGUGCCUCAGCCUCCUGAGUAGCUGGGGCCACAGGCAUGCGCCACCACGCCUGGCUAAUUUUUGCAUUUUUUGGUAGAGAUGGGUUUUCACCGUGUUGGCCAGGCUGGUCUCAAACUCCUGGCCUCAAGAGAUCCACCCAUCUCAGCCUCCCAAAGUGCUGGGAUUACAGGUGUGAGCCAUUGCACCCAGCCAUGCUCUUAUUCUUGAUCACCUUCCCUGCCUUUGGAGUGGUUAUGGAGAUGUAAAGUAUGCCUAAGAUCCUGAUGAUAGAACAGAUGGUUUAUUUGUGGCAAGGAUAUUUUGCAUUGAUCAAUUGCAUUUAAUCAAUUAAUUACUUUUUCAACACGAAUUUACUAAAGUCAUGUAUGCUAGGCACUGUGGAGGGACUGCAAAAAGAUUUCAAGUACUGCACCAUCUUGUUGGAAAGAUGCCUAGACAGCAUUUGAGAAACCCUGAUCGUGUUUGAUGACACAUAACUGCUAACAGUUACAUGGAACUUUCUAUAUGCUGUAUAUAAACAAAAAAAUGUAUGUAUGUAUAUUUACUUAACCCUCACAACAGCUACAGUUAUUAUCAUGAACCCUGUUCUAAUGUGAGAAAACCAAAACAUGGAGAGGUUAAGUAAUUUGCCCAAGACUACACAGCUAAUAUUGGUGGAACUGUGAUUAGGAUCCAGGCAUUCAGGUUCCAGAGUUCAUACUCUUCAUAUACCACCUGUAUCUUGAAUAUAACAAUAUAGAGAAAAAUAAUUACAGAAAAUAUAUGUCUAGGUAAGCAUUUUCCAGAGGUGACUGUUUUUUUUUUUUUUUUUUUACAUUGGAUUUUUAAACUUUCAACAAUAAAGCAGGUUGGACUUUAUAUCAAAGCUAUUCUGAUGUCACCUUUCCCAAUGUUAAGGAUGUUAAUGAGAAUUGCUAAUCCAAGAGAAGCAAAUAAUCGCAUCUGAUUUGGGUAAGUCAAUUAUUUGAAAGUAGAAGAAUCACCCUUCCACCUAAGGAACCUCUGAGGGAAGUACUGGAAAAAUAAUGCUUUGUAAUAAGCC